CAGCUGGAGAUCAAACCACCUCUCCCUGGAGCGUGUUCUUCCCUCGUGCUUCUUUCUGUGGUUCCUAUUUUCACCUCUUCUCUUUCUGCACUUCCUCUCCUCAGUCUUGCCCCUUGCUAUUCAGUGUGGUCUGUGGACCAGGAGCAUCAGCAUCACUUGGGAGCUUGUUAGAAACAGAAUCUGCUUUUUUUUUUUUUUGGAGGACGAUUAGCCCUGAGCUAACAUCUGAUGCCAAUCCUCCUCUUUUUGCUCAGGAAGACUGGCCCUGAGAUAACAUCCGUGCCCAUCUUCCUCUGUUUUAUGUGGGAUGCCUGCCACAGCAUGGCUUCACAAGCAGUGCGUAGGUCCACACCCAGGAUCUGAACCAGGCAGCCAAAGCAGAACGUGCAAAUUUAACCGCUGCACCAGUGGGCCGGCCCCUAAACACAGAAUCUUGAGCUUGCCUCAGCCCUGCUAAAUCAGAACCUGCAUUUAAACAAGACCUCUAAAGGGUCCAUUAUGUUUCAGUAUCUGAGAAGCACUGCCCUGGGGUGCCAUGUUCCUCCUAGUCCAUUUCUUCAUUUUGGGACUGGACCUCUGGCAGAGCCAAAUGGCUGCGGGUUGGGGGGCACCCAGAAGGUAUAACCUCUCCUCCUUGAUCCACAAUUUUUCUCCAGCUAAAAUGGUAACUCCCAGGGUCUUUUUUUUUUUUUUUUUGAGGAAGAGUAGCCCUGAGCUAACAUCUGUGCCCAUCUUCCUCCACUUUAUGCAUGGGACGCCUGCCACAGCAUGGCUUGAUCAGCGGUGUGUACGUCCGCCCCCAGGAUCCAAACCAGUGAAUCCUGGGCCACCAAAACAGAGCACGUGAACUUAACCACUGUACCACUGGGCCAGUCCCAACUCCCAGGGUCUCAAAGAAACUUCAUGGAAAUAGCACAGAAACAACACAAGAAGGCUUUGUGAAGGUCAUUUUUGUGAGUAGUGAGAAAUCAAAACAGAAGUCCCACAGAUGGGGAAGGUCUGGGGCAGGAGUGGACGCAUGCUUUGGUUCUCUGAAGCCCAGGGGAAGGGAACAAUGUGUAAUUUGUGACCCAGUGAGAGGCAGGGUAUGCUUUCUCUCAGUUUCUGUGGGAAGCACACCUGGUGGCUCAGGAGUUUACCCUGAAGGUGAGGCACUGGCUUUCCUCCCUGUCUCUGUGGGUCUCUGAUGCCUCCAUUCUUUCAUUCUCACUAACUUAGAAAAGCCAACUUGAAAAUGCUCUAAUCUGAGGGAUCAAGUGUCUUGGCCACGAUGCUAGUCCUUGCAGAGGGUGUUCUCCAGGAUUAAUAUCUGCAGAGUUUGCUCUGAGACCACCACGCACAGGACCAGUAUCCCCCUGCAACUGAAAAGGUGGCAGCACCAGAAUCAUCAGCACAGCCUAGGAGGGUUUGUGACCUGGCAGAAGGUGACUUGCAUCAGGCGAGAGGAGCCACUGUGAGGAGCUCGGGUACAUAGUUGUACAUUUUAGCCGUGGGUCCUUCUAGUUGUGGCAUGUGGGACACUGCCUCAACACGGCCUGAUGAACAGUGCCAUGUCCGCGCCCAGGAUCCGAAUCGGCGAAACCCUGGGCCACUGAAGCGGAGCGCAUGAACUUAACUGCUCGGCCACGGGGCGGGCCCCAUCGCAGCCAUUUUUAAGUGUACGGUUCAGUAGUGUCUUGCGUUUUCCGAGAUGCUCCGGAACUCUAGAAGGACAAAGAAGCAUUUCACAUCCUUCUUCAGGGAAAGCAGCACCCUCCAAGGAAGAGUGGCUCCACCCUGACUAGCCACAGAGUGGCCCAAGGCCAGUCCCAGCCAAGUUCAUAAGGAGGCCUGCCAGUGUGGCAAUGCUGAAUCACCUGCUUGGUUUACUGGCAGUGACUGGCCUCACCAUGACUGGGCAAGACUGUGAGCUUUCCCAGUCUGGGCCAGUGGAUGUACGGGCAGAAUAGAGCUGGGGGUGAGGGCAGAGGCCUGAGCAGAAUGCCAAAGCUGGGAAAUGUUGCGGGCUCCUCCCACUACGCGGCGGCCUCUCUCCACCCUUGAUUAGGUCGGCUCCUGCUUCUCUGGUCCUCACAGGGAUGGGGCUUUCCACCGCAGCCCAGGUCCCAUCAUAGUACUUCCUGUCUCCAAUGCGACUCCAACCUGACCUGCAAUUGUGGUAUCCGGCAUGGCAGGGGGUGAUCUGCACCCCACACAAGCAAUGAGUCACAGCCUGUGUGGUCCAGUCUGUGGGCUAGUCACUUCCUGUCGUUCCUGCUGGAGCCCUGCGCCAGAGCCCAGUCAUUAGACAGGCCUUGACUUUAACCCAGUUAUUCCAGAAGCACCCCCACUUGUGUCCAGGGGACCUGGGAAGCUGGUGGUGGUGAGAAUCUUCUGCUCCGUCCUCCUCCAGGCCUGCUAGUCUUUCUUCUCUGCCUGCUAGUCUCUAAGAGAUUGUCAGAGCUACUAUGCUGCCCAUAACAACAAGGCCAAAACAACAGACAACUAAGGGAGGAGGGUGACAGAAAUCAAAGAAACAGAGAAUUCUCUGUCCCAGUCCCCACAAAAGCACCGGCCCCACCGCUUCUGACAACUGGUCUGCCUCUCAGCCAGCAUCUGAGCCUACGAUGUUCCCCUUCCUGGCGACAUAGUUCAUGCCAUUCAUGGAUUGUUCCUACUUAUUAGGAAAUUAUUCCUUAUAAUGAGACCAAAUCUGCUCUCCUAUAAUAUUUUUCAUCUUUUCAUAUGUUUAUUGGAUAUUUGCAUUUCAUUCACAAAAUAUUGUACCUUCUUGUCUAAUUUUCAAACUUAUUGCUCUAAAGUUGUACCUACUAUUUUUUAUCUAUUCAAAUAUCUAUUCUUUUGUCUUCUUUCUUAUUACAAACAUUAGUUUUAUUUUCUCCUUUUUCAACUUGAUACCACUUUCCAAAUGUUUAUUUUAUUGUUUUCCCUUCAAUGAGUUAGCAUUGGGUUUGAUUGAUCAAAUUUAUUUGUUUUUGUUUUAUUUAUUUCUGCUUUUAUCUUUAGUAAUUUCUGCUUAUACUUCCUUUUGAUUUAUUUUGCUAAUCACUUGCCAGCUUCCUGCUUGAAAACUUCGUUCACUUAAUGUCAGUCUUUCUUGUUUUAUUAUCAAUGCUCCUGUGGGUAUGCGUUUUCCUGAGUAUUGCUUUGAUCACAUCUCCCAGAUCUUGACAUGUAGCUCACUAAUUAUUUCUGAAUCGUUUGUAAUUUGUUUUUUUAAAUUUCCUUUUGAAACCAAGAAUCAUUUAGAAAGCCAUUAUAAAAAUUUUCAAGUUAACAAUUUUGGCUAAAUUUUUGUUAAUUUUUUUAUUCUAUUUAUUACAUUAAGGUUAGAGAAUACAGCCUGUAUGACUUCUCACUUUUCCGUAAUUCUAAUCCACCUGACUCAGGUCUGUUCUCUGGUCCCUCUUAAAUUUUUGUUCCUCUUUCAUGGGAUGCUCCAAUAAAUAAUUGACAGCAGUUACUUAGUGGUCUCUAUGGAGGGAGGGGAGUGUGCAGUCCUCCCCGGAGCCUUUUUCGUCUUCUGAGGGCUUCUUAAACUAUUCAGAUGGCUCACGUUUCUGCCCCCCAUCCCAUCACCAUCACUGUGUGCUGAGACAGAAAAGGAAAAUCUGCUCCAAGUUAGACAUUCUCGGUAGGACGGGUGUGGCGUGCCCUCACUGUCUGGGGUUCAUCUCUGGAGCUGUUUGAGUCUCUCCACGUCCCUCCUUGGUAAACCUACAAAGUCAACACGGUGCUCGCAGCCUGCAGGGAGCUGUACGUCUCUCUCUUUUGCCCUAGAGGCUGUACUUCUCUUAUGUUUCAAAGGAAGCUUUGUCUUUAUUAUAGCCCAGACCAUCAAGUAAAGCCCCCUGCCAGCGUUUCUCACACUGUGUUCCAUGGAAAACCAGUCUCGUAGAUAUUAAUAGGCGAUGUAUAGAAAGGGGUCUGUUUGGGGACUGCUGAAUUAAACAAAGAGAACUGACCACCAUGGGCAUCUCAGAGCCUUUGUAUUCUGUGUUAAUUGACUUUGUAAGAGGAGAAGGAAGCAUGGUUGUGUUUCCCAAACUAAUCUGGAAUGCACCCCUUCUGUGGGACACGAAGUCAGUGUUCCAGAACAGACACUGUAUGCCAUGCUGCCCAACGCCCUAUUUUCAAAUGUACUCCUAUGAAGCCUUUUGUUUGUCUUGAUCAAAUUUUAUUUAGCCCAGUGAUUAGAGUCAGUUCUUAACGCUACCCUUUCAGUGGGUUUGUAUCUUGAUUUUACAAUCUAGUGUUUCUGCCACCCCUCUGGGAUUCUUACUGCCGACAGAGCAGAUCAGCCUGACACCUGUAUUCUCACGUAAUGCACAGAUAAGCGCUCAGAAAGGACAGGGCCUUGCAGUGUGCCCCUGGCAUAGGGAGGACUCACAUUUCAUUCCAUGGAAGGACUUCGAUUGGUGGAGGCUGCCUAAACCAGCACCUGUGAGACUUCCUUGUGCAGGCAUGAAUUCAAUUUUUCCAGCCCUCAGGAUUUUAGAAACAACCUUUGGAAGGCAUCACAUAAGAAGCAACAGCACCAAUUAUAGAAACCAGCUAAUUUCCUAGAUGGAAUAUCAGUGGCCUGCGCCAGACAGGUGCCAACCAGUUUUGACAUUUCAAUGGAAACAGUACAACCAGGCUAGACAUUUAUGGUCUUUCAGUUAAAAUGAGCAAUAAACCUCCAGGUAAUUGCAUGUGUUGCUAUGUUUCAGCCCUUAAUCUACCAUCCAUAUCAGUUCUGAUGACUAAGAGGAAUUUGUGUGGUCCCA
rnacentral:lncRNA from 1 species